rnacentral:rRNA from 1 species
AUUGAACGCUGGCGGCAUGCUUUACACAUGCAAGUCGAACGGCAGCAUAGGAGCUUGCUCCUGAUGGCGAGUGGCGAACGGGUGAGUAAUAUAGCGGAACGUGCCCUAGAGUGGGGGAUAACUAGUCGAAAGAUUAGCUAAUACCGCAUACGAUCUAAGGAUGACAGUGGGGGAUCGCAAGACCUCAUGCUCGUGGAGCGGCCGAUAUCUGAUUAGCUAGUUGGUGGGGUAAAAGCUCACCAAGGCGACGAUCAGUAGCUGGUCUGAGAGGACGACCAGCCACACUGGGACUGAGACACGGCCCAGACUCCUACGGGAGGCAGCAGUGGGGAAUUUUGGACAAUGGGGGCAACCCUGAUCCAGCAAUGCCGCGUGAGUGAAGAAGGCCUUCGGGUUGUAAAGCUCUUUUGUCAGGGAAGAAACGGUGAGAGCUAAUAUCUCUUGCUAAUGACGGUACCUGAAGAAUAAGCACCGGCUAACUACGUGCCAGCCGCCGCUGUAA